rnacentral:rRNA from 2 species
UGGGGAAUAUUGGGCAAUGGGGGAAACCCUGACCCAGCAACGCCGCGUGAAGGAAGAAGGCUUUCGGGUUGUAAACUUCUUUUAUGAGGGACGAAAGAAAUGACGGUACCUCAUGAAUAAGCUACGGCUAACUACGUGCCAGCAGCCGCGGUAAUACGUAGGUAGCGAGCGUUGUCCGGAUUUACUGGGUGUAAAGGGCGCGUAGGCGGGAAUGCAAGUCAGGAGUGAAAUCUAUGGGCUCAACCCAUAAAUUGCUUUUGAAACUGUAUUUCUUGAGUAUCGGAGAGGCAGGCGGAAUUCCGUGUGUAGCGGUGAAAUGCGUAGAUAUACGGAGGAACACCAGUGGCGAAGGCGGCCUGCUGGACGACAACUGACGCUGAGGCGCGAAAGCGUGGGGAGCAAACAGG